AUUCAUUUAAAAAGCUGUUUAUUAGAAAUACAUUUCCUGAUGUGAACAAUUUUUUUUAACAAUCAAAUAUGCAAUAUAACAGAGCAAGAUAGCCUUUUCAAGCCACUCUAUAGUAUUACAGAGUGCAAUAGAAGCUAUUUUUAAAGUCUUGUAGAUAAUGUAUCAAUUUUAAUUAUUUUCUACUUGUAAUUUAUUCAUUUGAAUUAUGAAGUAAUAAAUUAGUAGUUGAAAUUAAUGCAAAAUUAUCUUCAUUUUUAGGAUUGCAAUGGACAGUUUGAAGAAUUUAAACUACCACAGUGUAGAAGCAAAUCUAAGUUCCUGAAGGAUAGGGAGUUACAGUGACCACAAGAUCAUUUCCAGCAGCUCCAGCAGGAUGCUCCCAGCAGCAGAACUUACGAGUCUCCUCAGAGCUAGGGACAGACUUGUCAGACUUCACUUUUGAGCUUCAUCUUGAGAAGUGCUGUAUCUCAAUACGGAGAAGUGAGGGUGUGAGAGUGUGUCCACAGACAUGCAUAUCUUUUAUCUGGGUAGCAGAGGAAGAUACUGUGUUUGCCUUGACCUGGCAGUUUUGAAGCUGACCGUGCUGAGCCUGCAGGAAGGAGGAGAGACCUGGGCUUUCUCUUAAAACAGACCCAGGUAUCCAGGAUGGGGAAAUCUUUGAGAGUGAGACAAACUGUCUCACCAGCAAAGAGCAGAAGCUGACAGCAGGCCACUCCUCAAGGACAAUUAAAGAAAAUAUUUUCCCAAGAAAUCCAGAGAGGGAAGUAUGGAAUUUGCCAUCAAAAUUGUUUGAUGAAAACUGCUGAUUUUCAAUAAAAAAGAAACUGGAGGGAAGAAUUAAUCCUUC
rnacentral:lncRNA from 1 species